AAGAGUGAAAGAAGCAGCAACAUACUUACCUGAAAAAACGAAAAAAAACGAAGUAUACUUACCUGACGUAGAAACGGGGGAUGAAACUAACACAAACCUACCUCAAUUGGAUGGUGUCCUAAAGUCGCAGCAACGUGAUGUAAGUUUUGAACCCAUCAUACACGAUCAGACACAUACAUCUGAAAAGACCAAAGUCUUAGAGAAUAGCUCAUCAGCUCUGUCGGAAACAGAGAGCUCACUUCGUCCUGUCUCAGUUGAGAAUCAAACCGAAACGGAUGAGCAUGAUACUGUGCAACCAGAGAUGUAUGUCAGGAGAUCUGAACGAAGUAGUCAGCCUCCUCAAAGACUAACUUACUCUCAAUUGGGCAAUCCACUAGUGACCGUAGUUAGGUCCCUUUUCCAAGGACUUAAUAAAGCUUUUAUUGACUCUCUUACUCAAGAAGUUGUGUACCCCGUAGAAACAAUGCACAGGGCCGUGCAUGAUAUUUAAUGGGGGAGGAUGUAACCCAGAAGCUAGAACCUUAAUGAGGUAUUAACUAAUUGGCUUACUAAUAUGAUCCAUCCUCAAUUUAGAUAAAAUAUAAAAUAUAAAUUAAGGAAAUUAACAAUACUAAUUAAUAGAUAUCUAAUUAACUAAUAGAUAAUUUCAUAAUGAAUUAUUGGAAGGGUGAAUAACUAAAAUAACGAGUUUAAUAUUAAACAUCGGUUAAAACAAGAAUCUUGAACAUCACUAACAGAAACAGAAGAGGAAAGCUGUAUACUAUUGGUCCAGGUGGGAAUCUGAAAUUUCAUUGGCUGAGAGAAAUAAGUCCCGCCUCCGCGAAAUAAAACCGUGCGACGCAGCUGAGCGAGAGGAGAGACAAACGGCUGUGCAGCACGCAGAUACAGAAAGCAAAGACUGAGCGGUUAGAGAGAGAGAGAGAGAAAAAAAAAACAACGGUCGAGGCCGUGAAGAACCCUGAUUUGGGUGCCGCAUAGAUAGAGGGAGAGGCGGACUUGACUCCUUCUAAUAAGAGCUAGGAACUUGGAACCAACGCGAUUUGUGUGGAGACGACAGAGUGAACCAAUCCUCUGUAGGAGGGAACCGUUGGAGCGCGUUGGUGAGUGAAUGAGAUUAAAUUCAGUAAAUUAUUAAAUUCAAAAAGCUAAUUACAGCAACCGAGGUGACAGCAGUGGGCUGCUAGACGUUAGAUCCCAGGAGUUAACAUCUCAAACUACCAGUUAACGGUGGUAGGGCAUAUAGGAGUUAACGGCUCAAACCGCCAGUUAACGGCGGUACGGCAUAUAGGAUUCCCAGGAGUUAACGGCUCAAACCGCCAGUUAACGGUGGUACGGCCUAGAUGUACAAGGUCCUCAGGGGCGUUAUAGCUAACGCCAUAGAAUUAGCAAUGCGUCCCUUAACCAAACAUUUAAUAAUAAAAAAAAUAGAUAAAUAAAAAUAAAUAAAAGCUAACUGAUUAGGGAGGAAUUAUUUUACAAAGGUGGACCAAAGGACAAGAAUUUAUAUUUUGUUGAAUUUUGUUAUAGAACAUUUUAUUUAUUUAUUUAUUUAUUUAUUUAUUUAUUUAUUUAUUUAUUGUGUUACAAAUAUACAAGGUGUCACAAUGCUGUAUAGAAACACAACUAAAUGUAUCCUUGUUGUCAUGAAUGUAUUUCUUGUUGAAUAGUGUAGAGUAAUAGAAUCUAACUGAGCCUAUUGAGCUGAACAAUUGUUGUCAUAUGUAAUUAUAUUUCCAGAGCUACUGAGAAUUAUUUUAAUAGACAAUCAAAUUGAUGUUAUGUUAGUUGAACUGUGAACCCAAACAUGAUUGGCUAUGCCAAUAGAGUGAAGCAUUUGUUUAAGUCUGUAAGACUUUAUGCUGUGAUGUGACGAGAAGGGUCGAUGCCAACUCGCUAACAGUCCUGUUGUUUACAGGCUGGGUUUUUUUUUUCUUGGGUUUGAUCCCGACUCCUAUGAUCACUCACUUGGAACGAGAACUGGAUUUCUUCCUGACGAGGGAGAUGGCGAGCCUUAACCACUGAACGAACCAGGACAUCUCAAGUAACUGAAGAGCAGACUGCUCUCUUCUGUGAACAAUCUCAAAGGUGCGGUAGGAAAAAAUCGCACCACCGGACUCUGACUUUCACCCCAAGCGUGGGGAUUUGACUUGACGCCGGCUGACUUGUGACUCAUAUGAUCAAAUCUCAUACCGAGCAUUUUACUAUUGUCGAUUGUUUUCAUCUGUUUUUGUGUGUUAUCUUUAUGUGUUAUAUUUCCCAUUAUUAUUAAGAUUUAGUAUAUAAACCGUUUCAUGCUAUA